rnacentral:rRNA from 1 species
AUUGAACGCUGGCGGCAGGCCUAACACAUGCAAGUCGAGCGGAUGAAGGGAGCUUGCUCCUGGAUUCAGCGGCGGACGGGUGAGUAAUGCCUAGGAAUCUGCCUGGUAGUGGGGGAUAACGUCCGGAAACGGGCGCUAAUACCGCAUACGUCCUGAGGGAGAAAGUGGGGGAUCUUCGGACCUCACGCUAUCAGAUGAGCCUAGGUCGGAUUAGCUAGUUGGUGGGGUAAAGGCCUACCAAGGCGACGAUCCGUAACUGGUCUGAGAGGAUGAUCAGUCACACUGGAACUGAGACACGGUCCAGACUCCUACGGGAGGCAGCAGUGGGGAAUAUUGGACAAUGGGCGAAAGCCUGAUCCAGCCAUGCGCGUGUGUGAAGAAGGUCUUCGGAUUGUAAAGCACUUUAAGUUGGGAGGAAGGGCAGUAAGUUAAUACCUUGCUGUUUUGACAUUACCAACAGAAUAAGCACCGGCUAACUUCGUG